CUGAGGAAGUAGUUCUAUAGUGUUACAGUUCUUGGGUCACUAAAGCCCUUUGUGAUGCUUUGCUGCUGGCCAGGUUGGACUGACCUCCGACUGAAUUUCAACUGGUCCGAAAAGACGACACAGGCAUCUGAGUUUACUGCUCAGCGCAAUGCGGAGAAUCCUGAUCAUCUGUGGGAGAAGCAGUGGUGAGCGGAGGGUUGUGGGUGGAGCCUGAGAUGCUGGUUCAGGCCCUCCCCCAGAAGGUCAAGGGUUCACUAGAAUUUUCUAGAGGCUACAUGACUUGUAUAUCACAACAGACUGAAAGCAAAAGGGGACAGGAGAAUCCAGCCGUCUUCAACAGGCAGACGUUAAAGAGAUUUGCAAACGUAAAACAGUGCCCUUCUAUCUUUUUUUUUUGAAACAUUUUCCAAAAAAGACCUUUUAGGGGCUUCCCUG